UUGAAGUACCUGGAUUUUUCUGCUAGGGGAAAAAAGGACACAUGCACUGAAGUCUUGAUGAUUUUACCACUCUUCCAGAGCAGUUUCAUCUGAAACAAUAUCAGGGGUGUUGUGAGGAAGAGGCUCAUGGAAAACCAAGUAGAGGCUUU
rnacentral:lncRNA from 1 species